GUUGGCGGCUGCUGUGCUGCAUUGUAUUCUGAGUGGUUUAAUAAAUGUCCGAUCUCAGAAGCUAAGUAGGGUCAGGCCUGGAUAGUACUUGGAUGGGAGACUGCCUGGGAAUAUCAGGUGCUGUAAGCU
rnacentral:rRNA from 1 species